AGUGAACGCUGGCGGUAGGCCUAACACAUGCAAGUCGAACGGCAGCACAGUAAGAGCUUGCUCUUACGGGUGGCGAGUGGCGGACGGGUGAGGAAUACAUCGGAAUCUACUUUUUCGUGGGGGAUAACGUAGGGAAACUUACGCUAAUACCGCAUACGACCUACGGGUGAAAGCAGGGGAUCUUCGGACCUUGCGCGAUUGAAUUAGCCGAUGUCGGAUUAGCUAGUUUGCGGGGUAAAGGCCCACCAAGGCGACGAUCCGUAGCUGGUCUGAGAGGAUGAUCAGCCACACUGGAACUGAGACACGGUCCAGACUCCUACGGGAGGCAGCAGUGGGGAAUAUUGGACAAUGGGCGAAAGCCUGAUCCAGCCAUGCCGCGUGGGUGAAGAAGGCCUUCGGGUUGUAAAGCCCUUUUGUUGGGAAAGAAAAGCAGCAGGUUAAUACCCCGCUGUCCUGACGGUACCCAAAGAAUAAGCACCGGCUAACUUCGUG
rnacentral:rRNA from 1 species